UACGGGGGGGGCAAGCGUUGUUCGGAAUUACUGGGCGUAAAGGGCGCGUAGGCGGUUCGAUAAGUCAGCUGUGAAAACCAUGGGCUUAACUCAUGGCCUGCAGUUGAGACUGUCGGGCUGGAGUGUGGGAGAGGAGAGUGGAAUUCCUGGUGUAGCGGUGAAAUGCGUAGAUAUCGGGAGGAACACCAGUGGCGAAGGCGACUACCUGGCCUGUUUCUUGACGCUGAGGCGCGAAAGCUAGGGGAGCAAACGGG
rnacentral:rRNA from 1 species